AGCAAGAAGAUAUAAUAGAAGGAUCUUGCCCCAAAUCUGUUGUCGGAUUUUUUUCGUUUUGUUUUUGUUUUUUUUUUU
rnacentral:ribozyme from 12 species